rnacentral:rRNA from 1 species
GAUGAACGCUGGCGGCGUGCCUAAUACAUGCAAGUCGAGCGAAUGGAUUAAGAGCUUGCUCUUAUGAAGUUAGCGGCGGACGGGUGAGUAACACGUGGGUAACCUGCCCAUAAGACUGGGAUAACUCCGGGAAACCGGGGCUAAUACCGGAUAACAUUUUGAACCGCAUGGUUCGAAAUUGAAAGGCGGCUUCGGCUGUCACUUAUGGAUGGACCCGCGUCGCAUUAGCUAGUUGGUGAGGUAACGGCUCACCAAGGCAAAGAUGCGUAGCCGACCUGAGAGGGUGCUCGGCCACACUGGGACUGAGACACGGACCAGACUCCUACGGGAGGCAGCAGUAGGGAAUCUUCCGCAAUGGACGAAAGUCUGACGGAGCAACGCCGCGUGAGUGAUGAAGGCUUUCGGGUCGUAAAACUCUGUUGUUAGGGAAGAACAAGUGCUAGUUGAAUAAGCUGACACCUUGACGGUACCUAACCAGAAAGCCACGGCUAACUACGUGCCAGCAGCCGCGGUAA